CAAUGGCAUCCACAACUGCAUCUCCUUCGGAAGUAAAUUUCUCACCAUCUGUUUCAGCCAACAAAGAUUCUGACGGUUGUUCAACAACCACCUUAUUGAGUUUUUCGGCAUCAUCACUAUGUAUAGCUCUCUCUUCAAUGACCGAGGUAGGUUCCUCGGCCUCCUUCAAAUUGGAUGAAGCAAUAGCACUCUCUUCAAUGACCGAGGUAGGUUCCUCAACCUCCUUCAAAUUGGAUGAAGCAAUAGCACUCUCUUCAAUGACCGAGGUAGGUUCCUCAACCUCCUUCAAAUUGGAUGAAGCAAUAGCACUCUCUUCAAUGACCGAGGUAGGUUCCUCAACCUCCUUCAAAUUGGAUGAAGCAAUAGCACUCUCUUCAAUGACCGAGGUAGGUUCCUCAACCUCCUUCAAAUAGGUUCCUCGGCCUCCUUCAAAUUGGAUGAAGCAAUAGCACUCUCUUCAAUGACCGAGGUAGGUUCCUCAACCUCCUUCAAAUUGGAUGAAGCAAUAGCACUCUCUUCAAUGACCGAGGUAGGUUCCUCAGCCUCCUUCAAAUUAGAUGAAGCAACACUAGUUAAAGCUUCAUUCUUUUCAUCCUCCACAAUCUCCUUCACCUCCUCCUGAAUGGACCUAUCCUCACCCCCUUGCAAUUCCAUCUUUUCAUCCUCCACAGUCUCCUUCAC
rnacentral:lncRNA from 1 species